rnacentral:rRNA from 1 species
AGAGCGAACGCUGGCGGCAGGCCUAACACAUGCAAGUCGAACGCCGUAGCAAUACGGAGUGGCAGACGGGAUAGUAACACGUGGGAACGCGCCCUUCGGUUCGGAAUAACUCAGGGAAACUUGAGCUAAUACCGGAUACGCCCUUACGGGGAAAGAUUUAUUGCCGAAGGAACGGCCCGCGUCGGAUUAGCUAGUUGGUGAGGUAAUGGCUCACCAAGGCGACGAUCCGUAGCUGGUCUGAGAGGAUGACCAGCAUCACUGGGACUGAGACACGGCCCAGACUCCUACGGGAGGCAGCAGUGGGGAAUAUUGGACAAUGGGCGCAAGCCUGAUCCAGCCAUGCCGCGUGGAUGAUGAAGGCCCUAGGGUUGUAAAGUCCUUUUAACGGGGAAGAUAAUGACGGUACCCGUAGAAUAAGCCCCGGCUAACUUCGUGCCAGCAGCCGC